rnacentral:rRNA from 1 species
GACGGGGGGGGCAAGUGUUCUUCGGAAUGACUGGGCGUAAAGGGCACGUAGGCGGUGAAUCGGGUUGAAAGUGAAAGUCGCCAAAAAGUGGCGGAAUGCUCUCGAAACCAAUUCACUUGAGUGAGACAGAGGAGAGUGGAAUUUCGUGUGUAGGGGUGAAAUCCGUAGAUAUUGGGAAGAACACCGGUGGCGAAGGCGGCUCACUGGCUCGUAACUGACGCUCAUGCACGACAGCGUGGGGAUCAAACAGG